rnacentral:rRNA from 1 species
GACGAACGCUGACAGCAUGCUUAACACAUGCAAGUCGAAGGGGAAGGGGUGCUUGCACCGUGGCAAGCAUGGCGAACGGGUGAGUAACGCGUAAGGGACCUACCUGCCGCACUGGGAUAACAGGGGGAAACUCGUGCCAAUACCGGAUAAGAGCAUGGUGCUGCAUGGCUGUAUGAGGAAAGGCGAGGCGUGAGGAGAGCCUUGCGUCCUAUUAGCUAGUUGGUGUGGUAAUGGCUCACCACGGCGAAGAUGGGUAGCCGGCCUGAGGGGGUGGGCGGCCAUAGGGGUGCGAUGCGACCCCGACUCCUACGGGGGGAGGCAGCAGUGGGGAAUACUGGACAAGGGGGAGCACGCUGCUGCAGCGCCGCUGUGUGGACGACGAAGGUUGGCUUGUUGUCAACUUCCUCCAGCAGCGAAGAAGUAAGUGACGGUACCUGGAUAAGAAGCGCCGGCUAACUACGUG